CAAUAGCGUAUAUUUAAGUUGCUGCAGUUAAAAAGCUCGUAGUUGGAUUUCGGGUGGGAAUGGCCGGUCCGCCGUUUCGGUGUGCACUUGCUACGCCCACCUUGCUGCCGGGGACGUGCUCUUGAGUUCACGCUCGGGACACGGAGUCGGCGAGGUUACUUUGAGUAAAUUAGAGUGUUCAAAGCAGGCCUACGCUCUGAAUACAUUAGCAUGGAAUAACACGAUAGGACUCUGGCCUAUCUUGUUGGUCUGUAGGACCGGAGUAAUGAUUAAGAGGGACAGUCGGGGGCAUUCGUAUUCCAUUGUCAGAGGUGAAAUUCUUGGAUUUAUGAAAGACGAACUACUGCGAAAGCAUUUGCCAAGGAUGUUUUCAUUGA
rnacentral:rRNA from 1 species